rnacentral:rRNA from 1 species
UACGUAGGGGGCAAGCGUUGUCCGGAAUCAUUGGGCGUAAAGCGCGUGUAGGCGGCCAGGUAAGUCCGUUCUGAAAGCCCGGGGCUCAACCCCGGGAGGCGGAUGGAUACUGCUUGGCUCGAGUCCGGAAGAGGCGAGUGGAAUUCCCGGUGUAGCGGUGAAAUGCGCAGAUAUCGGGAGGAACACCAAUGGCGAAGGCAGCUCGCUGGGACGGUACUGACGCUGAGGCACGAAGGUCAGGGGAGCAAACGGG